AGCUUUGAGCAGUGGCAGUAUUGUAGCCAAUGAGGUUUAUCCAAGGCAUGAUUAUUGUUAAUUGAAAAUUCUCCCAAUACCCUGCCAUCUGACUUGAAAUAUAGUUAGCAUUGGUAAUUUUUUACAGUCUCUAUGGAAA
ensembl:snRNA U4 U4 spliceosomal RNA